rnacentral:misc_RNA from 1 species
AAAUCUUUAGAAAGUGUUUAGUAUUAUACAGUUUCAUAUUAAAUUAAACGUUGUUAAUAGUAAACAUAAUUUUAGAUUUUGAGUUGAAAGUUUUUUAUAUUGCUAAAUAUGUAUUUUAAAUCUAAUAGAACGGCAAUUGCAAUUUUUAAAAUUGAAAUUGCAUUGUAAAUAUACCCUAACAUCGAAAUUGACAAAUGUUUUAUUUUUAUUGUUCAUCAUAGUUAAAGUAGACUAUAGUACAUAGUACUUGGAAAAAUGGAAUACAUUGGGACCAGGAUGAGUUGAACAUCCGACCUCAGGUUUAU